rnacentral:rRNA from 1 species
UCGAGGAUCUUCGGCAAUGGGCGCAAGCCUGACCGAGCGACGCCGCGUGCGCGAUGAAGGCCUCGGGUUGUAAAGCGCUGUCGAGGGGGAGGAAGCCGCAAGGUUGACCUAUCCCUGGAGGAAGCACGGGCUAAGUUCGUGCCAGCAGCCGCGGUAAGACGAACCGUGCGAACGUUGUUCGGAAUCACUGGGCUUAAAGGGCGCGUAGGCGGGCCUCCCAGUCCGGGGUGAAAGCUUUUCGGCUUAACCGGAAAAGUGCCUUGGAUACUGGAGGUCUUGAGGGAGGUAGGGGCAGCUGGAACUUCCGGUGGAGCGGUGAAAUGCGUUGAUAUCGGAAGGAACGCCGGUGGCGAAAGCGGGCUGCUGGAUCUCUACUGACGCUGAGGCGCGAAAGCCAGGGGAGCGAACGGGAUUAGAUACCCCAGUAGUC